GACGAACGCUGGCGGCGUGCUUAACACACGCAAGUCGAACGGAAAGGCCCUGCUUUUGUGGGGUGCUCGAGUGGCGAACGGGUGAGUAACACGUGAGUAACCUGCCCUUGACUUUGGGAUAACUUCAGGAAACUGGGGCUAAUACCGGAUAGGAGCUCCUGCUGCAUGGUGGGGGUUGGAAAGUUUCGGCGGUUGGGGAUGGACUCGCGGCUUAUCAGCUUGUUGGUGGGGUAGUGGCUUACCAAGGCUUUGACGGGUAGCCGGCCUGAGAGGGUGACCGGCCACAUUGGGACUGAGAUACGGCCCAGACUCCUACGGGAGGCAGCAGUGGGGAAUAUUGCACAAUGGGCGGAAGCCUGAUGCAGCAACGCCGCGUUCGGGAUGACGGCCUUCGGGUUGUAAACCGCUUUCGCCUGUGACGAAGCGUGAGUGACGGUAAUGGGUAAAGAAGCACCGGCUAACUACGUG
rnacentral:rRNA from 1 species